AGAGUUUGAUCCUGGCUCAGGAUGAACGCUAGCGGCAGGCUUAACACAUGCAAGUCGAGGGGUAAUCUCGAUCUUCGGAUCGGGAACGACCGGCGCACGGGUGCGUAACGCGUAUACAAUUUACCUUAAACUGGGAGAUAGCCCGAAGAAAUUUGGAUUAAUAUCCCAUAUCUUUUAUGAAUGGCAUCAUUUAUAGAAUAAAGUUUCGAUGGUUUAAGAUGAGUAUGCGUCCUAUUAGCUAUUAUGAGAGGUAACGGCUCCCAUAGGCUAUGAUAGGUAGGGGUUCUGAGAGGGAUACCCCCCACACUGGUACUGAGACACGGACCAGACUCCUACGGGAGGCAGCAGUGAGGAAUAUUGGACAAUGGGAGCAAUCCUGAUCCAGCCAUGCCGCGUGCAGGAAGACAGUCCUAUGGAUUGUAAACUGCUUUUAUACAGGAAGAAAAAGCCCGACUUGUCGGGUGUUGACGGUACUGUACGAAUAAGAAUCGGCUAACUCCGUGCCAGCAGCCGCGGUAAUACGGAGGAUUCGAGCGUUAUCCGGAAUCAU
rnacentral:rRNA from 1 species